rnacentral:rRNA from 1 species
UGGGGAAUUGUAGGCAAUGCCCGAAAGGGUGACCACGCAAUCCCGCGUGCAGGAUGAAGUCCUUCGGGAUGUAAACUGCUGUCAGGAGGGACGAUGAUGACUGUACCUCCAGAGGAAGGGACGGCUAACUACGUGCCAGCAGCCGCGGUAAUACGUAGGUCCCGAGCGUUAUCCGGAAUUACUGGGCGUAAAGGGUCCGUAGGCGGCUGGGUAAGUCAGUAGAUAAAGCCUGG